rnacentral:rRNA from 1 species
GAUGAACGCUGACAGAAUGCUUAACACAUGCAAGUCAACUGUGGCGGACGGGUGAGUAACGCGUAACGAACUUGCCUCCCAGAUAGGGAAACCAUUUGGAACCGAAUGCUAAUACAGGAUACUGGAAGAGAGCUGUGCGUCCCAUUCGCUAGUUGGAGAUGUAACGGCUAAACAAGGCGAUGAUGGGUAGCCGGCCUGAGAGGGAGAUCGGCUACAAGUGGACUGAGACACGGCCCUUAUGCCGACGGGGGGAAGCAUUGGGGAAUAUUGGACAAUGGACCAAAGUCUGAUCCAGCAAUUCGGUGUGCACGAUGAAGUUUUCGGAAUGUAAAGUGCUUUCAGUUGGGAAGCGGUACCAACAGAAGAAGUGACGGCUAAAUACGUGCCAGCAGCCGCGGUAAUAC